rnacentral:rRNA from 1 species
ACUACGGGGGGCUGCAGUGGGGAAUAUUGCACAAUGGGCGCAAGCCUGAUGCAGCCAUGCCGCGUGUGUGAAGAAGGCCUUCGGGUUGUAAAGCACUUUCAGCGGGGAGGAAGGCGUUAAGGUUAAUAACCUUGGCGAUUGACGUUACCCGCAGAAGAAGCACCGGCUAACUCCGUGCCAGCAGCCGCGGUAAUACGGAGGGUGCAAGCGUUAAUCGGAAUUACUGGGCGUAAAGCGCACGCAGGCGGUCUGUCAAGUCGGAUGUGAUAUCCCCGGGCUCAACCUGGGAACUGCAUUCGAAACUGGCAGGCUAGAGUCUUGUAGAGGGGGGUAGAAGUCCAGGUGUAGCGGUGAAAUGCGUAGAGAUCUGGAGGAAUACCGGUGGCGAAGGCGGCCCCCUGGACAAAGACUGACGCUCAGGUGCGAAAGCGUGGGGAGCAAACAGGAUUAGAUACCCGGGUAGUC